rnacentral:rRNA from 1 species
CAGCAGCCGCGGGAACACAGAGGGUGCGAGCGUUAAUCGGAUUUACUGGGCGUAAAGCGUGCGUAGGCGGCUUUUUAAGUCGGAUGUGAAAUCCCUGAGCUUAACUUAGGAAUUGCAUUCGAUACUGGGAAGCUAGAGUAUGGGAGAGGAUGGUAGAAUUCCAGGUGUAGCGGUGAAAUGCGUAGAGAUCUGGAGGAAUACCGAUGGCGAAGGCAGCCAUCUGGCCUAAUACUGACGCUGAGGUACGAAAGCAUGGGGAGCAAACAGGAUUAGAUACCCCCGGUAGUCCCUGUCUCUUAUU